rnacentral:rRNA from 1 species
CUGGGAUAACUCCGGGAAACCGGGGCUAAUACCGGAUAUGAGAUCUGCUGGCAUCAGCGGAUUUGGAAAGUUUUUCGGUUGAAGAUGAUCUCGCGGCCUAUCAGCUUGUUGGUGAGGUAAUGGCUCACCAAGGCGACGACGGGUAGCCGGCCUGAGAGGGCGACCGGCCACACUGGGACUGAGACACGGCCCAGACUCCUACGGGAGGCAGCAGUGGGGAAUAUUGGGCAAUGGAGGAAACUCUGACCCAGCGACGCCGCGUGCGGGAUGAAGGCCUUCGGGUUGUAAACCGCUUUCAGUAGGGAAGAAGCGAAAGUGACGGUACCUACAAAAGAAGCACCGGCUAACUAUGUGCCAGCAG